UGGUGGCUGGGCUCGAGCUCACUUGUGUCUUUCUCGGUAUGUUUAGUUGGUUUGAGUGGGUCGUGUCCUGAUAAGCCCACUCUUGGAUCGGCCCAUUAGGGCUAUGGCCCAAAUGUCUCACUAUAUGAAGAGGACUCCCUUCUCCAAGAAGAGGGAGAACAUACUUCCCCACAAAAAGGUUACUCUUAUCUCCUCUUCUCUCAUAUUACUCCUGCUCUCUCUCCCUAAACUACACCCUUACUUGCACUUAUAACAUCUUUAUCACACAAGAUACCGACUUGAGCAUCGGAGUGCCCACGGGGUGAACCCCCUCGGGCCCUCUAACUAGAUCUACCUGUGGCUGCAGUUCAAGACCCGACGUCCCGCAAGAGGAACCGUCACCAUGACGACAAGAUGACGAACCUGAACCGGAGCUCACCGAAUCUAAGGUUAGUACCGCCAAGAUCUCUGAACGACUUCAGGGAUUUGGGGAUUCGACAUUGGCGCCAUCCGUGGGACCAGGUGCAAGCAUGCCUCGGUCCCUUCAUACAAACGGCUGGAUCUGCCCUCUUCGUGAUGGUCAGAUCUGCAUCUCGACUCCGGUUACUAGGUUCUAAUCCUCUUGCAUACAUACCUCAUAAUCCGAAAGGAAGAAAAGAAAAACAAUAAAUAAAUAAAAUAAAGGUGUAUCUUUUGGAAAAGAAGUCAACAAGCUUAUCUAACAAGCUUUUCUGUCAUAGAGCACGUGACUUUGUUGCCAUGAGCUGUCAACAACACUUUUAAUUUUUUUUAUACAAAUUAAAAUAUACACUUGAUAAGAAAGGUAUUAAUUACCUUAGAUUCAUUUGACUUUUGCUAUCCUAACAACUAAAAAAUAGAAGGGUAAAGGAACAGGAAUAUGGUUCAAGUAUAACUUUCUCAGUUAGGAAUAUGGUUGAGCACCUACAUGUAUCUCAAAAGUACAAGCACAUGCUAACACUUCUAAACAUUCAAUAUAAUAAAAUAUACUGAUAUGUAUAUUUUGAGGAAAAUGAAAAUAGGAGCUUUUCAUAACCUUCACUUGCAAGUAAUACUUGAAUUUUUAUUUAUAAAAAAAAAAGAGGGGAAAAGGUACAAGUCAUAUUGCACAUGGCACAACCCUCUUUUUGUGGAAAAGACACUCUUUUGACAGGAUGUGACCUUUUUUCUUGGAAACAUGUGAUGCCUCACUCUUACCAAUGUGGUAAAGUUUCCCUAUGAAAAGAAAGUUAGUUUGACUUUCUUAUGGAAAAAUAAUAAUAUUUUACUAGUACAAGGUCCUUCCACAUGGUCCUUCCCCGGGCCCUCCCUCAGGCCCUUUCACUUGGUCCUUCCUCAGGACCUUUCCCAGGCCCUUCCACCCGGUCCUUCCUCAGGACCUUUCCCAGGUCCUUUCUACACGGUCAUUCUCCAGGUCUCUUCACAAGGUCUUGCCUCAAGCCCUUCCGCCAGGUCCUUUUCUAGACCUUAACACAAAACAUUUACGCAAGGCCUUUCUCCGAAGUCUUGCAUCGUACACCACUUCUAGACACAGAUUUAUUGUUCCCAUUACAACGUUGUUAGGGUACGUAGGCUACCCCCUUAAUGAUAUGAUGGCAUCACGUCUUCACAAAAAGGCACAAGCACAAGCACUUGUACACACAACACAACAUGUUUAAUACAUAAGUAAACUGAUCUUUGGUAUGACUUACCUCUUUGAAAGUGUUUUCGUGGCAAGUAUCGAAGCAUGAACAUGAGCAACACAAAAAGCUAUUAGUCACGACCUACGGGAUAGGUCGACAAAGGCUAAUAUUGGACUGGAUGAUAUGUACCAGAGAAACAAGGCAUGAUCUUUGAAAAGACAUUGAAAAAUAGUGAUCACCUUAAACAUCCUUAAACAUGGAUAUAGCUUCGGUUAGAAAGAAAGCAACACAACAUUAGUGAAAGCAAGAAAUACCUUUGUACAACAUUGAACUGAGGGACUAGUAUGUCUAGGGGGAUAUUGUGGGACAGAGUUUUUGCUAACCACGGGCUACUCUCAUUCAACAAAGAAUCAUCUGCCGGAUACAUCUAUUGGUCAUAUCCUUGUGUGCUAUCGCGUCUCUGAUAAAGACACCACUCAUUAGAAGUGAUUAUGAUUUAGAAGACUUCCGAUACUCAUCAAAAGUAACUAUGUUCUUCAUUCACAACCGAGGGUCUAGACAGACGGGCUCAAGGAUAGCCUAUUUCAUAAGUUCAGUAUUACCAACUACGCUUGACAACACUGAACUGGGGAGCUAGCAUGGGAUAACACCAUUGGGUUCUACGUUGAAGACUUCUCGAAAGGAUCUUUAUUUUUGUAUUACCUCAUCCGAAAAGGAUUAAGCACCUCCAUAAGUUCUCAUGUUCGAAGAUCUAAACAACAAAAGAAAAAGAAAAAAAGGAGGGAAGGAGCAUGGACUGCCUUACAAAUUCCUCCACUUGAAGAAAGGAAAAGCCUGGGUGGUGUAUUUGGCUCCUUCCCUGAAGAAAAAAGAAUCAGAAGAUCACGUUAUCAAUUCUUCACUUGAAGAAAUGAGGAGUCUGGGCUACCUAGUUGGCUCCCCUCCUGAAGGCGAAAGAAUCGUCUGACUACGUUACUAGUCCUUAAGGAAAAUCCAGACGCUCUCCUUGAAGACGGAAGACUCCUUGGACUACGUUGUUGGUCCUCGAAGAAACCCUGGACGGUCCUUCCCUGAAAAAGGAAGAACCCUUGAGCUGUAUUAUUAGUUCAUCUCUUGAAGAAGGAAAGAACCUGAGCAGGACAAUACGAGAGGGGAAAAAUGAAAUCCUCCUACGAUCCGUCAUGCUCAAGAAACCCUCAUCUGCUGGACCAACCCUACCUCCCACGGGAUCUGGCUGAAGUCUCAAAGUUCACUCGGAGAAUUGCAGAGGCACCUAUGCCCCCUAAAACAAAACUACCUCCAAACUUCGACCGGUAUGAUGGGACGAGGAGCCCAGCGAGCGGAUAGAUCAAUACAUAGAAAGGUUUGUCAAGGAAAGCAUGAACAUCAAGGACGUCCCGCAGGUCGUGAAGGUCAGCAGUUUCAUAAACAGAUUAAAACACGCACAACUAUGCAAGAAACUGGGGGAAGAGUUUCCUCGCUCGUUUGACAAUCUCAUGGACAGGGUCAGAGCCUUUUUCAGGGGCAAAGACACAGUUAGUAAAGCCAAGGAGACAGACGCCCCACCCCGAAGGGUCACCUCCGCUGCAAAACCUCUUGAUAAAGGUACACCUUACUCCCGAAAGCCCGCUUUUGAUAUAAUGUUGCAUGAUAGAACAAGACCCUCGUACUCCCCAUACAAACCUCGGGGAAGAGGCCCAUCCCCUUACUCUGACAACUUCACCCCUCUCACCAAGACACCAAGUGAAAUAUUGGCUACUGAGAGGGCGAAGGGCUCCUUUCUAAGGCCACCACCUAUUAAACCUGGGCCAAAGGCACAACCAAAUGAGUAUUGUGACUUUCACAAAGGGUUUGGCCAUAGAACUGAUGAUUGCAUGUACCUAAAAAGAGAAAUAGAAGCCGCGGUUAAAACAGGAAAACUGGCCCAUUUGGUUAAGGAAAUUAAGGAAGGAGGGGGGGGGGGAUCGCAAAGGGAAAAAUGCACGGGGGCCUGGGAGGGCAGAUGUAGAUAUGAUUAGAAGGAGGAAUGAAUUUGAUACCACCAGGAGUGUAAAAGCCAGAAUCCUGGGCUCCCCAGACUGCAUGGAAUCUCCCAUCCUAAUGCCGCACCUGGAAGAAAACGAAGUGCAACGGCUCCCACUCAACAUCUCAGUCGUGAUAGCUGGCCACAAAGUGGCCAGGAUACACGUGGACGGAGGAUCUGGGGUAGAAGUCACAUACGAACAUUGUUUCCUCAGAUUUGACAGGGAUGAAAGAGACCGACUUGAGGAGGAUUCAAUCCCUCUAGUAGGAUUCAACAACAGUGUGUCACACCCCCUGGGGAAGAUCAAGUUCCCAUUCACAGUUGGGGUAGGGGAUCGAGUUCGAACGAUAAACUUAACUUUCACAGUGGUCCGAGCACCCUCAAAAUACAACGUAAUCCUGGGAAGACCCGGGAUUGGAGAUUUGCAAGCACAGGCAUCCACCCCACACGGAGCCUUAGUAUUUCAGACACCAAAGGGCUUGGCUUAAGUAAAAUCUGCACACGAAGUGAUUUCUUCCUUGUCUGAAGUGGAAGCAUCCGAGAAGCCCCGAAAAGAAGGGGUCGAAGAGUGGGUCCUUUGUGACAGGUUCCCGAAGCAGACGGUCAAAGUGGGAAGUCACCUAAGUGACAAGUGCAAGAGUGCCCUCAAGGAACUGCUCCUCCUCAACAUAGACGUAUUUGCAUUCCAACAUGGGGAUAUGACAGAAAUCCCGAGAAGCUUGACUGAGCACCGACUCAAUACGUAUACAUGGGCAAAACCGGUGAAACAGAAAAAACGAAGCAUGGGUCCCAACAAGAGGAGGGCCGCCUGUGAAGAAACCAGGAAACUGCUCAAAGCGGGAAUAGUCAGGGAGGUGAAGUACCCAUCCUGGGUUCUAAGGACUGUUAUCAUCUCCCAGAAAUAGAUGUCCAAGUGGACUCCUUAUCCCAAUACCCCCUGAAAUGCUUUUUGGAUGCCUACAAAAGAUACCAUCAAAUACAGAUGUCAAUGGAAGAUGAGGAAAAAACCGCCUUCAUCACAGACGAGGGGACAUUUUGUUAUACCAAAACGCCAUUCAUUCUUAAAAAUGCUGGGGCCACAUAUAAAAGAUUUAUGAACUCCCUCUUCAGGGAACAACGGGGAAGAAACUUGGAGGUAUACGUCGAUGACAUCGUUAUCAAAAGCCUAACCGAAAUGGCCAUGAUAGACGAUAUAACCCAAACCCUCCACACCAUGCAAGAUGUGAAUAUGAAACUAAACCCCGGGAAGUGCUGUUUUGGGGUAAAACAAGGAAAACUCUUGGGGGUCGUAGUCACUAAGGGCGGAAACAAAGCUAACCCGGAGAAGACUCAAGCUGUGGCAGAAAUGCGAUCUCCCAGGUCUUUGAAAGACACCCAGCAGCUAAACGGGAGGCUAAUCGCUUUAAACGGUUUUUUGUCAAAAGUAGCUGACAGAACCCUUCCCUUCAUGAAGGUGCUGAAGGACUAACUUCAAACGGACAAGAUUAAUUGGACCUCUGAGGCGGAAGCCGCUUUCCAAGAAAUGAAGGCCUAUAUUUGUAAACUCCCAACACUGGCCACCCCAGUACCCGGGGAACAUCUGACCUUGUACCUGUCCGCCUAAAAAACAACCAUAAAUGCGGUCAUGAUGGUGGAACGGGAGGGAAAACAGAUACCAAUAUAUUUCAUCAGCAGAACACCUAAAGGCCAUGAAGAACGUUACAUGCCCAUGGAAAAGUUAGCGUUGGCCUUUGUUUUCGCAUCCAGGAGACUCAUGAGGUAUUUCCAAGGGCACAAGGACACCCGGAUGACAAAUCAGCCCCUCCAAAAGGUGCUCAAGAGGCCGGAGCUGUCGGGAUGAUUGGCUAAAUGGGACGUGGAACUGGGAAAACACUCCUUGGAGUUCAAACCCAGGAUAACCAUGAAAGGACAAACACAGGCAGAUUUCCUGGCAGAAGUCCCUGAGGAUGAAGAAAAAGAACUCCCAAAAUGGGAAUCCUUGAAAAGAAAAGAGAAAGAAAAGGAAGACAAGGCUGUGUGGAAACUCUUCACUGAUGGAGCCUCCAGUGAAGAAGGGAGCGGAGCAGGCAUUACUUUGAUAAGCCCUGACGGAAUCGAGCUAACCUAUGCCAUAAGACUGGACUUCGAAAACACCAACAACACUGCAGAAUAUGAAGCCCUCUUAGCAGGGAUGAGGCUAGCAGAAAAGACGAAAGCAAAACAUGUGGAAGCUAGCACUGAUUCACAGUUGGUAGUCAAACAAUACUAAGGAGAGUAUGAGGCCAAAGACAACACCAUGGCUCAGUACGUGGCAAAGGUAAAAGAGAUGGCCAGGGUAUUCAAAACUUUUAAGCUGGAAUACAUUCCCUUAGGGAGAAACAGAAAGUCUGAUGCCCUCAGUAAGCUAGCCUCAGUAGCAUUCGAUCACUUAGCAAGAGAAGUCAAAGUGGAAGUCCUAACCCCUCCAUCAGUACAGAGGAGGUAGCUGCAGUUGAAAACACACAAGAAACAUGGAUGACACCAAUUGUAAAGUUCCUCAGGGACGGAACCAUUAUCUGCCGGAACAAAACGUUGUUCUCUCCUAAAGGCUAAAGCAUUUUGGAAGUCCCUUCCAUCAACAAGAAAAUCCCUUCUCUUGUGAAUAAGGUACCUCAGCAGUCGCUUACAAGAACAGGAACGUAUACUUUCCAUGGAAUUAAGCCCAGGAAAAGUUCCUUCCGAGAUUAUGAAGAGUAUCCCGUUCACUGGGAUCAAGUGUUUUAGAAGUCCCUUCCAUAAACAGGAACAUAUCCCUCACUUGGGAUUCAGCCUCGAAGAAACUCCUUCCGAGAAUAUGAAAUGAUGAAGUACAAGGGCCGUUCGGUCAUUAAUCAAAAGAUGAAUUGAACGAAAAUACAAGAGGAAUGUGAAGUAAAUUAGUUUGGGGACCAAUGUGUCAUUAUUUGAAAUUUAAAUGUGGGAGGUAACUAAAGUGGGAGUUUCACGAUGGAGAUUAGUAUCUCUGGGGAUUAAGUCUUGGAGGAGCCGCCUCCGAAAAAUGAAGAUGUCCCACCCUAUGUGAUUAGGGGUCUCGUAAGUCUCUUCAACGAACAGGAACAGGUUUCUCCCAAGAAAAGGAGGGUAUCCCCUCCCGUGGGAUUAAGUAUCGCAAAAGUCUAUUCAACGAACAGAAGUGCACCCGACUACGAGAUCAAGUAUUGGUAAAGUUCCUUCUAAGGACGGGAAAGUACAUCCCAUGAUAUAUGAGAAAAAUCCUCCUUAAAAUUUCGCACCUAAACAACUUAUUCAAAAAAAAAGGAGGGGGGAGAGCCCCUUGACAAGGGACUUCGAAUCUGAAGAAUCCCUUCCUUGAAAAGAAAAGAUCUCCGCCACAGGUCUGUGUUUUAGAAAGUAUCUCUCCAAAGAAGAGGAGCCCCAUCUCGGGGCCGCAUACGUUUGAAGAAGUCUCUCCAAGAGGAGAGGGUUGCACAUUCCAUGGGCACCCAUUUUUAGAGAAUUACAACAUCUCUCCAGGGUAGGAAAGAGCCCUUAACAAGGACUCACAUAGGAAGGUUCCUUCUACAUAACAGGUGUUUUUAAAGGGCUCAUAAAACCUUUCCAAAAUGAGAAGAUGCCACCCCUUCUCGAAGAACAAAAACCUGAACGGUUCGAAGACCUUGCUAACGGGUCAAACAGGAUCAUCUAGACAGACGUGCCGAACGAUCUUACAAUAAAAUAAACAUGUACAUAGGCAUACAGACAUGCCGCCUUAAUCAAAACAAGGCAAAGCCAGGCCGUGGGGCUAGGACUAAGUCGACUACGUCCAAAAAAGCCGAAGCAGGCAUAUGAAAGUCCAAGUGGCCCAAACGCCAUUGGACAACAGGCCCAACAGAAGCUUUAACAACUUAAAACAAGUUACAAAGCGGGCCUAGGCAAAGCCUUUACAACUUGAGCAAGUUACGAAGCAAACUUGUACAAAGCUUUAACAACCCAAGCAGGUUACGAAGCAAACUUGUACAAAGCUUUAACAACUCAAGCAAGUUACGAAGCAAACUUAUAUAAAGCGUUAACAACUUAAACGAGUGACAAAGCAAACUUAUAUAAAGCUCUAACAACUUAAACGAGUGACAAAGCAAACUAUAGAAAGCUUUAACAACCCAAGCAGGUUACGAAACAAAUUUGUACAAAGCUUUAACAACCCAAACACGUUACAAGGCAAACUCAUAGGAAAGUUUUACCAACUCGAGCAAACUACGAAGCAAACUUAUGCAAAGUUUCAAACGAGUCACAAAACGGGUCUAUACAAGGCUUUACCAACUUAAAAAGUUACAAAGCGACCCAUAGAAAGUCUUAACGACUUAAACAGGGUACAAAGAAAAUUCAUGAGAAAGUUUUAACAGUUCAAGCAAUACAAAAACCCUCAUUAGAGGAACACAAUACAAAGAGUACAACACGGUAAAUAAGGCAUCACGGUCGAUGCCCUUUGAGAAAUUACUCUCGAACGAGUACUUUGAUGGAAAUGCAUCUAAGAAGUAUAUGCGAAGAUGGUCUAAAUAGCAUAAACGCUAUAAGAAAGCACUAUCGAACAAGUGCAUUGGAAAAAAUGCCUUCAAGGAGGCAUAAAUUGAAGUAAGGUAUUGUGCUACCCUACUUAAGGGGUCACCUGACUAUUUUAAGUACUAAAUGCAAGGUCACCCCAAGGACAACAAAGUAGAUUGGUUUGGCAUGACGUGCCGUAGACUAUGCUUACCCGACGGAUAGGGGGAACGGUUGAAGGGCGGAUAACGACCCGCCUAGAUUGUCAGGGACUUGAACAAGUCCUGCGCCCAUUCAUGAGUGAAUAGACUUGGACUAAGGAUGACUUGACGACGAGGAUCCCCGCUUGGGCUCCUCGUCUGGGCUCAUCGCCCUAGAUUGGUGGCUGGGCUCGAGCCCACUUGUGUCUUUCUCGGUAUGUUUAGUUGGUUUGAGUGGGUCGUGUCCUGAUAAGCCCACUCUUGGAUCGGCCCAUUAGGGCUAUGGCCCAAAUGUCUCACUAUAUGAAGAGGACUCCCUUCUCCAAGAAGAGGGAGAACAUACUUCCCCACAAAAAGGUUACUCUUAUCUCCUCUUCUCUCAUAUUACUCCUGCUCUCUCUCCCUAAACUACACCCUUACUUGCACUUAUAACAUCUUUAUCACACAAGAUACUGACUUGAGCGUCGGAGUGCCCACGGGGUGAACCCCCUCGGGCCCUCUAACUAGAUCUACCUGUGGCUGCAGUUCAAGACCCGACGUCCCGCAAGAGGAACCGUCACCAUGACGACAAGAUGACGAACCUGAACCGGAGCUCACCGAAUCUAAGAUUAAGUGCAGGUACCUAAACGUAAUUGGCUGGUAUUAGCUCCCUAGCGUCGGGA